AUGGGUGAAGAGGAGGAUCGUGCUGACGUUUCGUCCUGUCCAAGACAGAAUCCAGUCUCAUUCAGAGCUCGACUAAAGCUGCAGAGGAGCUGCAGGUGGUGCUUUUUACAUUUGCAUGUAGCAGUUCUCAGUCAACCCAUUUUGCCAAAGGUAAUCUUACAUCGUCAGACUUCUUUCUCAUCGAGCUCUGUGAAAACUGGAGGAACACGUUGUCUUUCGAUUCAACUUUCGGAAAUCUUGAAGCAGUGAAGAGUUUUAGAAACAUCCACCUCAAGUUUCGACACAUGUGGCUUACUUUACAUAUUGAAUGAGUUUUGUACUUGAAUUUCCUCAAACCUUGUGUGACCUUGCCAAUGUGUAGCUUUGC
rnacentral:lncRNA from 15 species